GAUGAACGCUGGCGGCGUGCCUAAUACAUGCAAGUCGAGCGAACAGACGAGGAGCUUGCUCCUCUGACGUUAGAGGCGGACGGGUGAGUAACACGUGGAUAACCUACCUAUAAGACUGGGAUAACUUCGGGAAACCGGAGCUAAUACCGGAUAAUAUAUUGAACCGCAUGGUUCAAUAGUGAAAGACGGUUUUGCUGUCACUUAUAGAUGGAUCCGCGCCGCAUUAGCUAGUUGGUAAGGUAACGGCUUACCAAGGCAACGAUGCGUAGCCGACCUGGGAGGGUGAUCGGCCACACUGGAACUGAGACACGGUCCAGACUCCUACGGGAGGCAGCAGUAGGGAAUCUUCCGCAAUGGGCGAAAGCCUGACGGAGCAACGCCGCGUGAGUGAUGAAGGUCUUCGGAUCGUAAAACUCUGUUAUUAGGGAAGAACAAAUGUGUAAGUAACUAUGCACGUCUUGACGGUACCUAAUCAGAAAGCCACGGCUAACUACGUG
rnacentral:rRNA from 1 species